rnacentral:lncRNA from 1 species
AAAGGGAUCAAGAGUAUAAACGCGCCAUCGUUAGGUUAUAAGAACAGCCCUAAAUGGUUAGCCAUAAACAUACCUUAACCAAUGAGAUAGCCCAACAAUCCGUCGACUACUCACCUUCUAUCAAGAGCUAACAAGCUUUUACACCUAUGCCACCAAGAACCAUUACAAUGCAUGAAAUAGGGACACUCCUUCCUUCAAAAGCCUUCC